rnacentral:rRNA from 1 species
ACGAAGGGUGCUAGCGUUAUUCGGAAUCAUUGGGCGUAAAGGGCGCGUAGGCGGCCUGUUAAGUUUGCUGUUAAAUCUUUCGGCCUAACCGAAAAACUGCAGCAAAAACUGAUAGGCUAGAGUGUAAGAGAGAGAAGUGGAAUUCUCGGAGUAGCGGUAAAAUGCGUAGAUCUCGAGAGGAACACCGAUGGCGAAGGCAGCUUCUUGGCUUACUACUGACGCUGAGGCGCGAAAGCGUGGGGAGCAAACAGG